AUUGAACGCUGGCGGCAGACUUAACACAUGCAAGUCGAGCGGGGGAAGGUAGCUUGCUACUGGACCUAGCGGCGGACGGGUGAGUAAUGCUUAGGAAUCUGCCUAUUAGUGGGGGACAACAUCUCGAAAGGGAUGCUAAUACCGCAUACGUCCUACGGGAGAAAGCAGGGGAUCUUCGGACCUUGCGCUAAUAGAUGAGCCUAGGUCGGAUUAGCUAGUUGGUGGGGUAAAGGCCUACCAAGGCGACGAUCUGUAGCGGGUCUGAGAGGAUGAUCCGCCACACUGGGACUGAGACACGGCCCAGACUCCUACGGGAGGCAGCAGUGGGGAAUAUUGGACAAUGGGGGGAACCCUGAUCCAGCCAUGCCGCGUGUGUGAAGAAGGCCUUAUGGUUGUAAAGCACUUUAAGCGAGGAGGAGGCUACUCUAGUUAAUACCUAGGGAUAGUGGACGUUACUCGCAGAAUAAGCACCGGCUAACUCUGUGCCAGCCGCCGCCGUAA
rnacentral:rRNA from 1 species